AAAUUGAAGAGUUUGAUCAUGGCUCAGAUUGAACGCUGGCGGCAAGCCUAACACAUGCAAGUCGAACGGCAGCACAAAAGAGCUUGCUCUUUGGGUGGCGAGUGG
rnacentral:rRNA from 1 species